rnacentral:rRNA from 2 species
GUGCGAGACCGAUAGCGAACAAGUACCGUGAGGAAAAGAUGAAAAGAACUUUGAAAAGAGAGUUAAAGAGUACCUGAAACUGCUGAAAGGGAAGUGAAUCGUAUCCAGUGUCUAUAAUCUGCGGCAUAUUUCAUUGGCGGCGGUGCGCGUGCUUUUGCGUCGGAAGCGGCUUUUGUUGCUCUGUGCUUUUGCUGUGCGUGGUGUUGCUGGUGCCCUGUGUUGCGGUGGGACGUCAGAGUCAGUUUGUAUGCUGCGGGAAAUGGCUGCCGAGGAGGUAGGUCGAGAUUUCGGUCUUGGCUGUUAUAUCUUGGUGGUUUGUUGUCGUGGUUGAGACUGAGGUGCCUACAAUGUGCUUUUGAGUGCGCCGGGUUCUCAUUUGGUGGACUGUUUGGAUAGCUUGCUAUGCUUGUGGUUUUUUCAUCGGGUGAUUGAGUCUGGUGGUAACUUGUUGCUGUUCGGGACUUUGA